rnacentral:rRNA from 2 species
UACACAUGCAGUCGAACGAUGACCCGGUGCUUGCACCGGUGAUUAGUGGCGAACGGGUGAGUAACACGUGAGUAACCUGCCCUUGACUCUGGGAUAAGCCUGGGAAACUGGGUCUAAUACCGGAUAUGACUCCUCAUCGCAUGGUGGGGGGUGGAAAGCUUUUUGUGGUUUUGGAUGGACUCGCGGCCUAUCAGCUUGUUGGUGAGGUAAUGGCUUACCAAGGCGACGACGGGUAGCCGGCCUGAGAGGGUGACCGGCCACACUGGGACUGAGACACGGCCCAGACUCCUACGGGAGGCAGCAGUGGGGAAUAUUGCACAAUGGGCGCAAGCCUGAUGCAGCGACGCCGCGUGAGGGAUGACGGCCUUCGGGUUGUAAACCUCUUUCAGUAGGGAAGAAGCGAAAGUGACGGUACCUGCAGAAGAAGCGCCGGCUAACUACGUGCCAGCAGCCGCGGUAAUACGUAGGGCGCAAGCGUUAUCCGGAAUUAUUGGGCGUAAAGAGCUCGUAGGCGGUUUGUCGCGUCUGCCGUGAAAGUCCGGGGCUCAACUCCGGAUCUGCGGUGGGUACGGGCAGACUAGAGUGAUGUAGGGGAGACUGGAAUUCCUGGUGUAGCGGUGAAAUGCGCAGAUAUCAGGAGGAACACCGAUGGCGAAGGCAGGUCUCUGGGCAUUAACUGACGCUGAGGAGCGAAAGCAUGGGGAGCGAACAGGAUUAGAUACCCUGGUAGUCCAUGCCGUAAACGUUGGGCACUAGGUGUGGGGG